GACGAACGCUGGCGGCGUGCUUAACACAUGCAAGUCGAACGGAAAGGCCCUGCUUUUGUGGGGUGCUCGAGUGGCGAACGGGUGAGUAACACGUGAGUAACCUGCCCUUGACUUUGGGAUAACUUCAGGAAACUGGGGCUAAUACCGGAUAGGAGCUCCUGCUGCAUGGUGGGGGUUGGAAAGUUUCGGCGGUUGGGGAUGGACUCGCGGCUUAUCAGCUUGUUGGUGGGGUAGUGGCUUACCAAGGCUUUGACGGGUAGCCGGCCUGAGAGGGUGACCGGCCACCUUGGGACUGGGAUACGGCCCCGACUCCUACGGGAGGCAGCAGUGGGGAAUAUUGCACAAUGGGCGGAAGCCUGAUGCAGCAACGCCGCGUGCGGGAUGACGGCCUUCGGGUUGUAAACCGCUUUCGCCUGUGACGAAGCGUGAGUGACGGUAAUGGGUAAAGAAGCACCGGCUAACUACGUG
rnacentral:rRNA from 1 species